rnacentral:rRNA from 1 species
GGGGAGUACGGUCGCAAGAUUAAAACUCAAAGGAAUAGACGGGGACCCGCACAAGUGGUGGAGCAUGUGGUUUAAUUCGAAGAUACGCGAAGAGCCUUACCUGGCCUUGACAUUGAUGGAACCCGGUAGAGAUACUGGGGUGCCUUCGGGAGCCUGAAAACAGGUGCUGCACGGCUGUCGUCAGCUCGUGUCGUGAGAUGUUGGGUUAAGUCCCGCAACGAGCGCAACCCUCGUCACUAGUUACUAACGGUUCGGCCGAGGACUCUAGUGAGACUGCCUUCGCAAGGAGGAGGAAGGUGAGGACGACGUCAAGUCAUCAUGGCCCUUACGGCCAGGGCAACACACGUGCUACAAUGGGUAGGACAAUGAGACGCGAUACCGCGAGGUGGAGCAAAUCUAUAAACCUACUCUCAGUUCGGAUUGUAGUCUGCAACUCGACUACAUGAAGCUGGAAUCACUAGUAAUCGUAGAUCAGCUAUGCUACGGUGAAUACGUUCCCGGGUCUUGUACUCACCGCCCGUCACACCAUGGGAGUUGAUUUCACCCGAAGCGGGGAAGCUAAACUGGCUACCCUCCACGGUGGGAUCAGCGACUGGGGUGAAGUCGUAACAAGGUA